GUCUUGACUCCCCCACGAGGUGGGAGGACAAAGGAAACGGAGGUGCCCCUCCUCCAACCCCGGGAAGUGUUGCCAUCUCCCUAGAGAUGAAAAGGGGGGGUAUGUGGGGGGAUGUUGGGGAGGAGCAGGUGCCUAUGGAAAUCUACUGGAUGUGCACUUAUUUGCACCCCUUGGCUUUGGCAAGUCAGUCGUUCAACGCAUAUUUUUGGAGAGUUUCCUGUGUGCCAGGGACUGUUCUAGGAAUUGGGGGUACAACGGUACGGAGGGUCCCUGUUCUCCCAAAGCGGUGUUUUAGUGGUUACCUGGUUUGGAAAAGACCAUCAUUCAGUUCUGGGUCCAGCUGGCUGACAGUGUUCAGCUGGAGCGGAAGUUGAGGACAACACCAGGUCCUGAGCCAAAUCGAAGGUUCUGAAACCAGGGGAGUUUCUCUCAGAGUGUGCUUAGCUGUGGAAAUGGAAACCAAGGACUGUAGUAGGUUGUUAGAAUAAUGACCCCCCUGCCCAUGAAUCGUGUGUCCAUGCAAUUUGCAGUGUGAUUUUGCUCCUGGAUCUGGGCUGGCCUGGAGACCAGCAGAAUGCCACAGAAGGGACACUGCUCAGCGGUCAUUUUAUUUUUUUAUUUUUUAUUUUUUCAGCGGUCAUUUUAAAAACAUUGUCAGGAAGGGGAGCUUGAACUCUGGAACCAGAUUCCUGGAAGAAUGACUGAAUGCCUCUCCCUGUGACAAUGCCAUCCCUUGCCUGUCUUGGUGAUCCAAAGAUGAGUUGGCUGGGUGGGAUGCCAGCCCAGGGUUCACCCGCAAGGUCAGAGUUGGAGGAUUCUUAUUGGAUAUUGCUCAUGAAAUCAACAAGAUUGGCCGGGGUAAGGGGAGUCUGUGGUCCCAAUGCCAAUGACGGAGUUAGAACUGAGUCAUCCAACCCAAGAAGAUUCAGGGGCCAACUUUGCACCAGAGCACAGUGGUUUGCUGGGAAAUGUUUUACAACCUGCUCUCCAGAGUGGAAAAAACAAAGGCAUGACUUGCAUUGUUUGAUGAUUUCCAUGGGUAAAUCCUUCCUCCACGGAUGAUCUCAACCACCAACUUGUUGCCGACUGACGUGCAAAAUUCUUAAAAAUGUAAAAGCCAUGGGAUGCCUGGGUAGCUCAGUCGGUUGAGCAUCUGCCUUCUGCUCAGGUCAUGAUCCCAGGGUACUGGGAUUGAGUCCCAUGUCAAGCUCCUUGCUCAGUGGGGAGUCUGCUUCUCCCUCUGCCUGCCACUCCCCCUGCUUGUGCUCUUUCUCUCUCUCUCAUUCUGAC
rnacentral:lncRNA from 1 species